CCUCCGUUUCUCCUCCUCGUCGUUCUCCUCGCGAGAGGCGGCGGCCGCGUCUGCGCCUCGCUCCUCCGCAAUUUCCGCUCGAGUUCUCCUACUCAGCCCCCGUCCCUUCUCCUCCCUUCCCCUUCCCUCAUCCUCGCCUCCUCCACCGGCAACCCCCGCCGCCGGGCAGCCACCUCGCCACUCGAGCAGCAGCACACCAUGGCAUGGAGCGGCUAGGAGGAGCUUAUGCGUGGCGGCAAGAGGAGGGCAGGGCGUCGGAUCGAGAUCGUCCUCUGCGGAGCUGUGUUCCGCAGGGCAAGAGGAGGCGCCACCACUCCCCACACCUUCUCCUCCGGCGGCACGGCAGCGACGUCAUCUUCAUUGUCCCUCCAUCUCCUUCCCCACCCUUCUCCGCUGGUAGCAGGAAGAUGUUGCGGAGCUCUCCUUCGUGGUGAUGGUGCUGUACUGCUUGCCGGUGAGAACUAGGAGGAGGAAUAGGAAACAAAGAGAGGGAGAUGGAGCGGCAAGACUACAAGAUCCUAGAUGCAGGCCGAGAUAAGAGAGAAGGGGCAGUUUGGGUAGGCAGGAGGAUCGAGCGUAGGAUGUGGAGCGGCAGUAGUAGGAAGAGUUGGUCCUGAACCCCAUCCCUAGCCCCUCUACAUCUACCAACGGCCGGACGGCUUGGCCUCCUGCGGCCCUAUCUCUCCACCUCUGCACCCCUCUUUUUUUUUGAUAUGCCUCCUCCCUUCUCACCUCCACUUCUUAUAGUACGUUAGGUGUUUGUGCAGAUUUUUUUUGUAUCUAUGCAUGUUAGGUGUUUGAGGAAAAUCCAAGCAAGCUGUAGGAAAAUCAAAGCGAGCUGGAGGUUCAUGAAAAUCCAAGAAAGCUAUAUACAAUGCAUUAUGCACUUUGGGAAUGCCCCAGGCUGCUGUCUUUAUCGGCUCACGAUCUCCGCCGCCACUGCCGUCGGGUCUUUGCCGCCACUGCCAGGUUGUGAGGUUGUGAGGCUACGAUGCUGCUCUACAUGAUUGUUGUGUCUGUCAAGUGCGUUAUGUCGCCAUUGCUGCUGCCGCUAGCCAGAUGCCCUCCUCAAUUUGGUUAGGUCCCCUUCGCUUUGCAUCAUCUUGUUUGAUCGCAUUUUUUGUUGGUUAGUGCUCGUGGAUGGAUCUGCUAUGGAUCAGGUUCUCCAACCUUUUUCAUCCGCUACCAGGUUGGAUUGGGGUUCAGAAGUUGUAGGGAUAGAAGACCUUCAGUUUUCUUUAUUGUAGUCUCCUAGAUUUACAGGCUGCAAGUGGAGAAGUUUACCCCUAUAGUCAUGAGGUUGCAACUCUCAUGAAAGGUACCGUGUUAGGUGCAUGCUUAGAUAGUAUAAUCUCCUAAAUUAUUCGUCGGUUGGAUAUGUGAGAAAUUAACCUCGGGUGUACAAACUCCAUAUUUGGUAAUGAUACAGCUAUUUGGAAAUGAUAAUUGGAGAAGAGCAAAACAUAAUUAGAUUCAUAGUUAAUACUUCAUACUUUCCCACUACUUUGAUGGUCUAAUAGAUUAAAUCACAAUACCCUUCCUUCGUAGUUAUUGUUUUGGCUCUGUCCAACCUUUUGUUUUGGUUGAUCCUGUCAUUCAUCCAAUUUGUAGGAUAUGAGGGGCUAUAUUAGUUACACUGGAGUCAUUGUGUGCUCUUAUAAUCCGACAACAGGUUGUUUCAAUUUCCAAGAUACCAUUUCUCUUGCUCUUAUAAAACCACAACAUGUUGUUUUAAUUUCCAGAUUAUUUCUAACGUUCCAGUUUUCUUGCUACUACAAGUACUUGCUUUGCCUAAUCUCAACCCUAUUUUUAAUUAUUGUUUCCACCGUGUGCUAAGGUUUCUAUCGGUAGGCUUCUCUACAGUUUGGGAUGUAUCACGGCAUUCUCUCCACUAGCGGAAUAGCUGUAAUGCAUAUGCUUCUUCCUCCACAUCACUCCAGGCAGUGGCUACAGGCCACCAUCAUGUGAUUGAAAGGGGAUUCGUUAGGAACAAGGAGUGCGCCUGUGCCUGGUGAUUAAAGCCUGCAGCAAAGAUGUGGCUGGCUGGUUGUUGACUACUCCCUAGCGCAGAACAUUUCCAUGGGGUCUUUAGGCCGUGGAUGUAUCCUUCAGUAUGUCCUUCUUUCUUGUGCUAUGCUCCGUUCAUUUUCUGGCGACGCUGAGCUACAACAAGAGACUAACGUUAGUGGGAUAUGAUGUGCUUGGUCAGAAAUUCAUUAGGAUGUAUCCUUAUCCGGACUAUACAGUCGUCAGUUUCAGGCGUAAUGAGAGCAAGGUGGAGAAAGGAUCUCGGGAUGUUCCUAUUCACUUGAAGGUUCAGGGUUCUGUACUACAGGUGAAAGUGAGAUGACUAUGUGUUUCAGAUUUUUGAGAGAAAGGUCAAGAUAUUAGCCUAUAUAUCAGGCGAGUUAAGUUUAUGAUAGAUAUAGAUUAUCUUUUGAUAGAUUUAUGUGAUAGAUUCUGGUUGUUGCUACUUCAAAUGUAUUAGAUGCAUUGGUUUGGCCUUCUGGAGUUUUAAAUAAUUUCUCUCUUUUGCACAUGGUAAUUAAUUAGACCAACAUUUUGUAUAUAACUUUUUUCUUCAAAAAAGAGUGAACUUGGUCAUGUACUUGGCUUGGCCAGAACUACUAUGUGAUUCCGUUUUACAUUCCUUUUCGUCUACGUGUUUGGUGUUAUAAUACUAAUAUUAUAAAGUUACGAUUAAUCCACUGCAUCAAAUGUUUAGGCAGGCUCGUUUUUAUUUUUAAGGUGGAUAUGUGGUUCAUGUUAAUUUACAACUAAUAGUGAUGAAACUAUUUAUGAAGGUUUAAGAUUGGAUCAUUAUUUUCAAAAAAAAAAAGAUCGGAUCGUUGCUGCUCUAUUGAAGUAGGGGAAGACAUCAAAGGAAAAUAGCAAAAAAGAAAAUGUAUUUGGUCUCACUGAUUAUUUUG